rnacentral:rRNA from 1 species
GACGUAGGGGGCCAGCGUUGUUCGGAAUUUCUGGGUGUAAAGGGUUCGUAGGCGGUGCGGCAAGUUGGGAGUGAAAUCUCUGGGCUUAACCCAGAGGCUGCUUCCAAAACUGCUGUGCUUGAGUGUGGGAGAGGCGCGUGGAAUUGCAGGUGUAGCGGUGAAAUGCGUAGAUAUCUGCAGGAAUACCCGUGGCGAAAGCGGCGCGCUGGACCACUACUGACGCUGAGGAACGAAAGCUAGGGGAGCAAACAGG